GACGAACGCUGGCGGCGUGCUUAACACAUGCAAGUCGAACGGUGAAGCGCCUUCCUUUUUGGUGGGUGUGGAUGAGUGGCGAACGGGUGAGUAACACGUGAGUAACCUGCCCCCUUCUUCUGGAUAACCGCAUGAAAGUGUGGCUAAUACGGGAUAUUCUGGGUCUGCCGCAUGAUGGGUCUGGGAAAGAUAUUGUUUCGGUGGGGGAUGGGCUCGCGGCCUAUCAGCUUGUUGGUGGGGUGAUGGCCUACCAAGGCGGUGACGGGUAGCCGGCCUGAGAGGGUGGACGGUCACACUGGGACUGAGACACGGCCCAGACUCCUACGGGAGGCAGCAGUGGGGAAUAUUGCACAAUGGGCGCAAGCCUGAUGCAGCGACGCCGCGUGAGGGAUGGAGGCCUUUGGGUUGUGAACCUCUUUCGCCAGUGAAGCAGGCCUGCCUCGUUUGUGGGUGGGUUGACGGUAGCUGGAUAAGAAGCGCCGGCUAACUACGUG
rnacentral:rRNA from 1 species